UACGGAGGGUGCAAGCGUUGUCCGGAAUCACUGGGCGUAAAGGGCGCGUAGGCGGCUCAUGAAGGCUGUGGUGAAAGUCCGGGGCUCAACCUCGGAUCGGCCGUGGCGACUCGUGGGCUGGAGCACUGUAGAGGCGGGUGGAAUUCCGGGUGUAGCGGUGGAAUGCGUAGAGAUCCGGAAGAACACCGGUGGCGAAGGCGGCCCGCUGGGCAACUGCUGACACUGAGGAACGAAAGCUAGGGUAGCGAAUGGG
rnacentral:rRNA from 1 species